rnacentral:tRNA from 1 species
UGGGGUGUGGGCUCAGCGAUAGAGCGCUCACCUAGCGUGUGAGAGGUGCUGGGUUCAAUCCUGAGCACCACAU